CCUACGGGCGGCAGCAGUGGGGAAUAUUGGACAAUGGGCGAAAGCCUGAUCCAGCCAUGCCGCGUGUGUGAAGAAGGCCUUCGGGUUGUAAAGCACUUUCAGUGGGGAAGAAAGCCUUGGGGCUAAUACCCUCGAGGAAGGACAUCACCCACAGAAGAAGCACCGGCUAACUCCGUGCCAGCAGCCGCGGUAAUACGGAGGGUGCGAGCGUUAAUCGGAAUUACUGGGCGUAAAGCGCGCGUAGGCGGUCUGAUAAGCCGGUUGUGAAAGCCCCGGGCUCAACCUGGGAACGGCAUCCGGAACUGGCAGGCCAGAGUGCAGGAGAGGAAGGUAGAAUUCCCGGGGUAGCGGUGAAAUGCGUAGAGAUCGGGAGGAAUACCAGUGGCGAAGGCGGCCUUCUGGACUGACACUGCCGCUGAGGUGCGAAAGCGUGGGUAGCAAACAGGAUUAGAUACCCUAGUAGUC
rnacentral:rRNA from 1 species